UAGGUGGCGGAAUUGGUAGACGCACCACAUUCAAAAUGUGGCGAUAUCCAUUAUCUUGAGGGUUCGAACCCCUUUCU
rnacentral:tRNA from 1 species